UACGGAAGGCAGCAGUGGGGAAUAUUGGACAAUGGGCGAAAGCCUGAUCCAGCAAUGCCGCGUGAGUGAUGAAGGCCUUAGGGUUGUAAAGCUCUUUUACCCGGGAUGAUAAUGACAGUACCGGGAGAAUAAGCUCCGGCUAACUCCGUGCCAGCAGCCGCGGUAAUACGGAGGGAGCUAGCGUUAUUCGGAAUUACUGGGCGUAAAGCGCACGUAGGCGGCUUUGUAAGUUAGAGGUGAAAGCCUGGAGCUCAACUCCAGAAUUGCCUUUAAGACUGCAUCGCUCGAAUCCAGGAGAGGUGAGUGGAAUUCCGAGUGUAGAGGUGAAAUUCGUAGAUAUUCGGAAGAACACCAGUGGCGAAGGCGGCUCACUGGACUGGUAUUGACGCUGAGGUGCGAAAGCGUGGGGAGCAAACAGGGAUUAGAUACC
rnacentral:rRNA from 1 species